UACGUAGGGUGCGAGCGUUGUCCGGAAUUAUUGGGCGUAAAGAGCUCGUAGGCGGUUUGUCACGUCUGCUGUGAAAUCCCGAGGCUCAACCUCGGGCCUGCAGUGGGUACGGGCAGACUGGAGUGCGGUAGGGGAGAAUGGAAUUCCUGGUGUAGCGGUGGAAUGCGCAGAUAUCAGGAGGAACACCGGUGGCGAAGGCGGUUCUCUGGGCAUUACCUGACGCUGAGGAGCGAAAGCAUGGGGAGCGAACAGG
rnacentral:rRNA from 1 species